rnacentral:rRNA from 1 species
UGGUGGUUAAUACCCAUCAGGAAAGACAUCACUCGCAGAAGAAGCACCGGCUAACUCCGUGCCAGCAGCCGCGGUAAUACGGAGGGUGCAAGCGUUAAUCGGAAUUACUGGGCGUAAAGCGCGCGUAGGUGGCUUGAUAAGCCGGUUGUGAAAGCCCCGGGCUCAACCUGGGAACGGCAUCCGGAACUGUCAGGCUAGAGUGCAGGAGAGGAAGGUAGAAUUCCCGGUGUAGCGGUGAAAUGCGUAGAGAUCGGGAGGAAUACCAGUGGCGAAGGCGGCCUUCUGGACUGACACUGACACUGAGGUGCGAAAGCGUGGGUAGCAAACAGGAUUAGAUACCCUGGUAGUCCACGCCGUAAACGAUGUCGACCAGCCGUUGGGUGCCUAGAGCACUUUGUGGCGAAGUUAACGCGAUAAGUCGACCGCCUGGGGAGUACGGCCGCAAGGUUAAAACUCAAAUGAAUUGACGGGGGCCCGCACAAGCGGUGGAGCAUGUGGUUUAAUUCGAUGCAACGCGAAGAACCUUACCUACCCUUGACAUCCUGCGAACCCGGAAGAGAUUCCGGGGUGCCUUCGGGAACGCAGAGACAGGUGCUGCAUGGCUGUCGUCAGCUCGUGUUGUGAAAUGUUGGGUUAAGUCCCGUAACGAGCGCAACCCUUGUCCUUAUUUGCCAGCGAGUAAUGUCGGGAACUCUAAGGAGACUGCCGGUGACAAACCGGAGGAAGGUGGGGACGACGUCAAGUCAUCAUGGCCCUUACGGGUAGGGCUACACACGUGCUACAAUGGCCGGUACAAAGGGCUGCGAGCUCGCGAGAGUCAGCGAAUCCCUUAAAGCCGGUCUCAGUCCGGAUCGGAGUCUGCAACUCGACUCCGUGAAGUCGGAAUCGCUAGUAAUCGUGAAUCAGAAUGUCACGGUGAAUACGUUCCCGGGCCUUGUACACACCGCCCGUCACACCAUGGGAGUGGACUGCACCAGAAGUGGUUAGCCUAACGCAAGAGGGCGAUCACCACGGUGUGGUUCAUGACUGGGGUGAAGUCGUAACAAGGUAGCCGUAGGGGAACCUGCGGCUGGAUCACCUCCUUA